rnacentral:rRNA from 1 species
UACAGAGGGUGCGAGCGUUGUUCGGAAUUAUUGGGCGUAAAGGGCGCGUAGGCGGUACGGUAAGUCACCUGUGAAACCUCUGGGCUUAACUCAGAGCCUGCAGGCGAAACUGCCGUGCUGGAGGGUGGGAGAGGUGCGUGGAAUUCCCGGUGUAGCGGUGAAAUGCGUAGAUAUCAGGAGGAACACCGGUGGUGUAGACGGCUUUCUGGACCAUAACUGACGCUGAGACACGAAAGCGUGGGUAGCAAACAG